AUUGAACGCUGGCGGCAUGCCUUACACAUGCAAGUCGAACGGCAGCGCGGGAGCAAUCCUGGCGGCGAGUGGCGAACGGGUGAGUAAUAUAUCGGAACGUGCCCAGUAGUGGGGGAUAGCCCGGCGAAAGCCGGAUUAAUACCGCAUGAGACCUGAGGGUGAAAGCGGGGGAUCGCAAGACCUCGCGCGAUUGGAGCGGCCGAUAUCAGAUUAGGUAGUUGGUGGGGUAAAGGCCCACCAAGCCGACGAUCUGUGGCUGGUCUGAGAGGACGACCAGCCACACUGGAACUGAGACACGGUCCAGACUCCUACGGGAGGCAGCAGUGGGGAAUUUUGGACAAUGGGCGCAAGCCUGAUCCAGCAAUGCCGCGUGCAGGAUGAAGG
rnacentral:rRNA from 1 species